AAUAGAUACCCAGGUAGUCCACCCCGUAAACGUUGGGAACUAGUUGUGGGGUCCAUUCCACGGAUUCCGUGACGCAGCUAACGCAUUAAGUUCCCCGCCUGGGGAGUACGGGCCGCAAGGCUAAAAACUCAAAGGAAAUUGAACGGGGACCCGCACAAGCGGCGGAGCAUGCGGAUUAAUUCGAUGCAACGCGAAGAACCUUACCAAGGCUUGACAUAUACGAGAACGGGCCAGAAAUGGUCAACUCUUUGGACACUCGUAAACAGGUGGUGCAUGGUUGUCGUCAGCUCGUGUCGUGAGAUGUUGGGUUAAGUCCCGCAACGAGCGCAACCCUCGUUCUAUGUUGCCAGCACGUAAUGGUGGGAACUCAUGGGAUACUGCCGGGGUCAACGUCGGAGGAAGGUGGGGAUGACGUCAAAUCAUCAUGCCCCUUAUGUCUUGGGCUUCACGCAUGCUACAAUGGCCGGUACAAAGGGCUGCAAUACCGCGAGGUGGAGCGAAUCCCAAAAACGCCGGUCCCAGUUCGGAUUGAGGUCUGCAACUCGA
rnacentral:rRNA from 1 species